UGAACCGCCCUCCUUUUGCCACAUAAAUAGGCUUCGAGCCCUCUACGGAAGCAUCCAAUCUCCCGGUCCUUCAAUCUCGCCGCUCCACCACUCCGCCGGCCGCCCGUGCUCCAUACGCCGUCGUACAAUCUCGCCGUUCUACCAACAUCGCCGGACCGCCGUGCUCCACCUGAGAUUAUGCACUGACCAACUGUGAUGUAUGUGCUCAUAUAUCAAUAGAAACAUCUUUUGAAAAAACAAUUACAUGUGAAGAUAGAUGAAAUAUCUGUCAAACAACAUCAACUGGUGUGCGUGCUAGAUGAAAAAGGGUGGCUAAACGAUGAUGUAAGUACCCUUUCUUACAAGAAUGUCCAAUUAUUGAUAUCCAUUAGUAAUGUCUUUUUCAAAAUCUUUUUAUGUAAUCAGUGCAUAUGUAUGUUGUAUAGACGACCAAGUACAUGUUCAAAAUGAUAGUAAAGUAUAUUUUCAGAAUCCUUUUGUUACCGCAUCGUUAAUACGUUAUGUCAACCUUGGUAUAUAUAUGAAGAUGGUACCUUUAUGAAAAAGAUUGUAAAAAACUAUGGAAGCAUGAAAUCGUAACAUCCAUAUCCUUUAUUUUUCAUGUUCUGGGUUUAAUACAUAUUUAUUAGUAAUUUUACUAAUUAUUUUGAUUAUAGAAUGAACUUCCAAUAAAUAUGAACAACACACAUUGCUAUUUAACUGUUGGGAACGCAAAAAAUUGUGAGAUUACAGUACUUGACUCAUUGUGUUGGGAGUUUGACCGAGAUGAUCUCACUAUUACGGUUGGUUACUACAUCACUAUUACGGUUAGUUACUAAUAGUGAGAUCAUCUCAGUCAAACUCGCAACACAAUGAGUCGAGUACUUGAAUCUCACACUUUUGCAUUCACAACAGCUAAAUACCAAUGUGUGUUGUUCAUAUUUAUUGGAAGUUCAAUCUAUAAAUCAAGAUCAUCAGUAAAUUAUUAUGAAUAAAAGUGUAUGAAACACAAAACAUGAAAAUUAUGUAUAUGGAUGUUACCAUGUCAUGCUUCACGUAGUUUUUGACAAUCUCUGUCAUAAAUGUACCAUGUUCAUGUAUUCCAAGGUUGCCAUCAUGCUUUAACGGUGCAGUAACAAAAUGAUUCUCAAAAUAUACUUUACUAUCAUUCUGGACAUGUACUUGGUCUUGUAUACAAAGUUUGACUAAAUUUAUAUUAAAAAAUAUCAACAUCGUCUACAAUACUAAAGCUAUAUAGUACGAAAAUUAAUUUUCAUCUAAUGCAUUUCGUAUUGUAAAUGUUGAUGUCUUUUCAUAUAAAAUUGGUCAAAAUUUACUAAGUUUGACUUCAAACAAAUUUCAUAUGCAAACUAAAAAGAAACAGAAGGAGUACCGAUAAUGAGAAUAAAUGAUGAUUUUAAAAGAAAAGAAAAGAAUAUAACCUAGCAGAGAACCUGUCUGGCCCCAGAUCAUCCAGAGUGUCGUCUUCGUGAACACCCACUGCUAGGUACUUCACAGAUCCGCACACACCUUGCAAGGCCAAACUGAAGAAAGAAAAGACACUGUGUGUACUAAGAUGGCGCUGCAUAAGUCUGCAGGUGUUCUCUGCUGUGGAUCUACCACUCUUACAAAAAUACUGACGGAUCUUGCAGUAGAAUUCAGCCACACGACAACAACACGGUUCAGCCACAAGCCCACAAGGAGAACUUCUGACUUCUGUGAGCAUGAGGAGCAGGGGAGAGGCGGCUGUAGCGACAUAUCCCGGCCGGAUCCAUGCAUGUUGGAGGCCGGGAAGGUGAUCGGAUCUAGAGUCCAUGGAGGAGACUUGCUCGGACACACGACCUUGCCGUACACGGACUCCCCAUGAACCGCCCUCCUCUGCCACAUAAAAAGGCCUCGAGCCCUCCAGGAAGCAUCCAGUCUCCCGGUCGUUCAAUCUCGCCGCUCCACCAACUCUGCCGGCCGCCGUGCUCCAUAAGCCGUCGUACAAUCUUGCUGUUGCAUUAACAUCGCCGGACCACCAGUGCUCCACCUGAGAUUGAUGUUGAUCCAUUGACAUGACCUCCGCCAUCAACCAACUCGACAUUACCUCUGGUUUCUGAAUGUAUGAAUGAAAGAAAAUUUUAUUCGAUGAUGAUAAGCAAUCAAAGGAAUAUGAACAAACAAAAGUUGAUGAAACACACGACUACCUCCCACUAGAUUAUGAAAAAAACAAUUACUGGCGAAGAUAGAUGAAAUGUCUGUCAAACAACAUCAACUGGUGUGCCUGCUAGAUGAAAAGGGGCAGCUAAACGAGUACCCUUACUUACAAGGAAAAGUUCAAUUAUUGAUAUCCAUUAGUAAUUUCAGCAUGACAUGGUAACAUCCAUAUCCAUAAUUUUCAUGUUCUGGGUCCAAUAUAUAUUUAUUAGUAAUUUUACCAAUUAUCUUGAUUAUAGAAUGACCUUCCAAUAAAUAUGAACAACACACAUUGCUAUUUAACUGUUGUGAACACAAAAAAAUGUGAGAUUACAAUACUUGACUUAUUGUGUUUGGAGUUUGACCGAGAUGAUCUCACUAUUACGGCUGGUUACUACAUCACUUCUGAUCCUCUAUAUGAAAUGUCAUAAACUGAUCCUUCGCUUAUGUGUAUUAUUUCUGAUCACAUAUUUCAGCUACAUGGACUACAUUAUCAAUUGGACAUUUUUAAAAGUCAUAACUUGAUAAGCCACAACCGGAAAGACUUAGACGUUACUAAAUGGAAGAUCACAAAACAAUUAUGAAAGUCAAUUCAAAAAGACAAGUAUAAAGCAUCACAUAUGUUCUAUACUAAUACAAGUAAUAUUGUGAUAUAUCUAGGGUACUCAAUUUUGUUUUAAUUAUACAGUUCACCUUGUGCACUACUAAUUCAAAAUGAUUGCUCUAAAAUAUCGGUAGAAUUGAUUGAUUUGAUGUAGCUGCAAAGUUCACCUACUAACUCAUCUAAGCUCAUGUUAGAAAGAACAUAUAUUAGUAAUUGGUAUUUAUUUUCGACAAGUAAUGUGUUUAUUGCUUUUGAUUUUUUGUAUCAUAUGUACUUUCCAACAUUUUAAUUAACAUCAUUAGGAUCUCCAUCAAUGUCAUCGUCACUUUGUUCAAUCAUUGUAGUCGUGGCCGCGGUGUUUGUUUUCCAACAUAAUAGUAUGCUCACUAACUUUAUACCUAAAAAAGAAGUGAUAAUUUCCCGUGCAACACAAACAACUAUUAGUAUUUUUUUAAAACAACUCAAACAACUAUUAGUAUAUUAUUGAACAUACAAGAUUAUUACACAUGAAUUAUUACUUAUAUUGGCAUAGAACAUAUGUGACACUUUAUAACCUGUCUUUUUGAAUUGGCUUUUGUAAUUGUUCUGUAAUCUUCCAUUUAGUAACAUUGAAGUCUUUCCAAUUCUGGCUAAUCAAGUUUUGACUUUUAAGAAUGUCCAAAUGAUAUUUUAGUCCUCGUAGCUGAAAAAUAAUUAAUGAUCAGAAACAAUACACAUAAGCGAAAUUUCACAUAAUAAGGGAUAAUAAAUGAUGUAGUAACUAUGAGAUCAUCUCAGUCAAACUCCUAACACAAUGAGUCGAGUACUUGAAUCUCACUCUUUUGCAUUCACAACAGCUAAAUACCAAUGUGUGUUGUUCAUGUUUAUUGGAAGUUCAAUUUAUAAUCAAGAUAAUCAGUUAAAUUAUGAAUAAAAAUGUAUGAAAGACAAAACAUGAAAAUUAUGUGUAUGAAUGUUAGAGCCUGUUCGGCAACAGUUCACUCCUCAAAUUUCUCAACUCCUGUCCUUACUUCUCAGCUUCCAACCCUACUUGCAUAUUUUAGAAUUUUGCAAAACGGCCCCCAACUCCAGCUCUUCUACGCGUGCGCAUGAAGAAAGGGAAUGAGGGCAAGUGGAGGCUAUUGUUGGAAAUAUGAGCAAAUUACUACGAGAUUUAAUCUGAAUAAAUAGGAAAUAGCUCAUGACAGCAAUAGCAGAGAUUAAACUAAUCAUGCGAACUAGUAUAGUAGAUGAACAGAUCACAUCUAGGGCACAUACUAGAAACAUGAAUUCUACUAC